GCAGAAUCGCGGUCCAACCAUUGGAAAAGCAACGACAAUGUACCUCUCUACUCCAAGCAAGACUGUCAGCCAUAUAGAAAAACAAUGAAACUUAGAUGUAACAUAGUAUGCUGAAUCAUGAUAUACACUAAAUGCACAUCCGUAAAUAAAAUCCGCCUUUUUUAUCCCAUAAACAAAGAAAAACAUCGGACUUAUCGAUCCGAUUGAAAAAAUAUUCGAAAACGCAAGCACUGUCAGAACAAUAUUAGUCGGUGAUUUGCGGUUUGUUGUAAUAAAAAUCAGAAUUGCUAAGGAAUUAGCACAAAUUGUGAUUAUUGCUAAAGAUGGUAUUAAGUAUCCGUAAAUUAUGUCAGCCAUUGGCGGGAACACAUGAGGCACACAUAUUGUAACAUUCCGUGUUUCAUGCGAUCCAAAAUAAGCCUUUACCAAUUUCAUGUUGAAGUCUUGUGAUCCUUUUAACUUUAAAGCAUAACAUAAGUUUCUCUUUAAAUCAAUACUUUUUUCCAAAACACAGAUUUGAAAUGAAUUAG
rnacentral:lncRNA from 1 species